AAACAGGCACGCUGGGCGCGGCCACUGGCUACUGGCCCCGACGGCUUCAGCGAGGGCCACUGCGCAUGCGAGGGACAGAGCAGGACCCUGCCGCCGGCUGGGUAAAGGACUGAGAGAGUGGUUGUCGGAGGAACUGGUGACUGAUUGGGGGAAACUCCAGGCGGAGCUCGCCAGAAUCCAGGGGGAAACAGGAAGAGUAGGGGAUGGAGGGCGGACGGUUCGCUCAGAGCGGCGGGGAGACAGCGCGGGUCUGCGGGCGGAGCGGCACGUGCGAGUGCGGGCUGUGUAAAGACGCGACGUCGCCGGCUUUGCUUUUCUAGGCCACUGCCCACUCUCCAUAAGGCAGACAUGACUAAUUUCCAGAUCGAGUAGAAGGAUGCGAUGACGGAGAUCAGUGUCAUUUGAGGAUGUAGCUGUGGACCUCACCCAGGAGGAGUGGAAUCAUCUGGAAUCUUCUCAGAGGAUACUUUACAGAGCUGUGAUGCUAGAGAGCUAUAGCCAUUUGGUCUCUGUGGGGUGUCCUGUUACCAAACCAGAUGUGAUCACCUGUUUGGAGAAGAGAAGACUUCAGAUCAUAGAGAAAUUCCGAGUUUGAGUUAUACAGGUAAAUAAGAAACGGACAGAUGGAGAUGAUGAGUAAGACCCCAGUGGAAGUCUGGCAAGUUGACCAGCUGGAGAGGCACCAGAAAAACCAAAAUAGACACUGGAGGCAAACUACGUCCAUUAGAGAGAAAGAUGUGACUAAGGAGUAAGGUCGUGAAAGAAUAGAUUUGUAAAUCCACUUCCUCAAAGGACAUGGGUGGUUUCUGCAUUACACAUACCCUAUAUACAGGACUCCUAUGGAAUAAGUUUUUUUUAAAGAU